UCCGUAGGCGGGCUAAUAAGUCAGGGGUGAAAUCCCACAGCUUAACUGUGGAACUGCCUUUGAUACUGUUAGUCUUGAGUUAUAUGGAAGUAGAUAGAAUGUGUAGUGUAGCGGUGAAAUGCAUAGAUAUUACACAGAAUACCGAUUGCGAAGGCAGUCUACUACGUAUAUACUGACGCUAAUGGACGAAAGCGUGGGGAGCGAACAGGAUUAGGUACCCUGGUAGUCC
rnacentral:rRNA from 1 species